UUUCAAACAAGGAAGGGAUUACGGUGGAUACCUAGGCACCCAAAGACGAGGAAGGGCGUGGUAAGCGACGAAAUGCUUCGGGGAGUUGAAAAUGAGCAUAGAUCCGGAGAUUCUUGAAUAGAUUAACAUUUUUAACUGCUGCUUAAUCCAUGGCUAGGCAAGAGACAACCUGGCGAACUGAAACAUCUUAGUAGCCAGAGGAAUAGAAAGAAAAAGUUAUUCUCGUAGUAGUGGCGAUCGAAAUGGGAGCAGCCUAAAUCGUGAAAACAGGGUUGUGGGAGAGCACAAUAUAAUCUUUGUGCUGCUAGGCGAAGUGGUUGAGUCCUGCACCCUAGAUGGUGAGAGUCCAGUAGCCAAAAGCAUCAUUGGGUUACACUCUAACUUGAGUAGGAUGGGGCACAUGGAAUCUUGUGUAAAUCAGCAAGGACCAUCUUGCAAGGCUAAAUACUCCUGGGUGACCGAUAGUGAAGUAGUAUCGUGAGGGAAAGGUGAAAAGAACCCUCAUCGGGGAGUGAAAUAGAACAUGAAACCGUAAGCUCCCAAGCAGUGGGAGUAAAAUGAUAUCUCCUACCACGUGCCUAUUGAAGAAUAAGCCAACAACUUAUAGGCAGUGGCUUGGUUAAGGGAACCCACCAGAGUCGUAGCGAGAGCGAGUCUUCCUGGGGAAAUUGUCACUACUUAUGGAAUCGAACCUGGGUGAUCUAUCCAUGACCAGGAUGAAGCUUGGGUGAAACUAAGUGGAGGUUCGAACCGAUUGAUGUUGAAAAAUCAACGAAUGAGUCGUGGUUAGGGGUGAAAUGCCACUCGAAACCAGAGCUAGUUGGUUCUCCCCAAAAUAUGUUGAGGUGCAGCAGUUGACUAGACCAUCUAGGGGUAAAGCAUUGUUUCAGUAUGGGCCGUGAGAGCGGUACCAAAUCGAGGAAAAAUCUGAAUACUAGAUUGCCCCAAUAAAAUGGGUAAAGGUCAGUCGGCAGUGAGACGAUGGGGGAUAAACUUCAUCAUCAAGAGGGAAACAACCCAGAUCAUCAGCAAAGGCCCCUAAAUGAUCACUCAGUGAUGAAGGAAGUACGAGUGCAAAGACAGCCAGGAGGUUUUCCUAGAAGCAACCAACCUUGAAAGAGUGUGUAAUAGCUCACUGAUCGAGCACUCUUGCGCUAAAUAUGAAUGGGACUAAGUGAUCUGUUGAAGUCGUGGGAUGUAAAAAUACAUUGGUAGGGGGGUGUUCUGCCUCAGAGGGAAGCACCGGUGCGAGCAGGUGUGGAUGAAGUGGAAGCGAGAAUGUCGUCUUGAGUAACACAAACAUUGAUGAGAAUCCAAUGCCCCAAAAACCUAAGGGUUCCUCCGCAAGGUUCGUCCACGAAGGGUGAGUCAGGGCCUAAGAUCAGGUCAAAAGGCAUAGUCGAUGGAAAACAGGUUAAUAUUCUUGUACUAACCCUUGUUGGUCCCGAGGGACGGAGGAGGCUAGGUUAGCCGAAAUAUGGUUAUCGGUUCAAGGACACAAGGUGACAAUUUAUACAUUGAUUCAAAGGUAAAAGAAGAAUCAAAUAUAGGUGUGUACAAGGUGAGGUUGGGGGUGGAUAUUCCUCAUCAUCUACUCUAGCACACAAAAAU
rnacentral:ncRNA from 1 species